GUGGGGUGACUGCGUACCUUUUGUAUAAUGGGUCAGCGACUUAUAUUCUGUAGCAAGGUUAACCGUAUAGGGGAGCCGAAGGGAAACCGAGUCUUAACUGGGCGUUAAGUUGCAGGGUAUAGACCCGAAACCCGGUGAUCUAGCCAUGGGCAGGUUGAAGGUUGGGUAACACUAACUGGAGGACCGAACCGACUAAUGUUGAAAAAUUAGCGGAUGACUUGUGGCUGGGGGUGAAAGGCCAAUCAAACCGGGAGAUAGCUGGUUCUCCCCGAAAGCUAUUUAGGUAGCGCCUCGUGAACUCAUCUUCGGGGGUAGAGCACUGUUUCGGCUAGGGGGUCAUCCCGACUUACCAACCCGAUGCAAACUGCGAAUACCGAAGAAUGUUAUCACGGGAGACACACGGCGGGUGCUAACGUCCGUCGUGAAGAGGGAAACAACCCAGACCGCCAGCUAAGGUCCCAAAGUCACAGUUAAGUGGGAAACGAUGUGGGAAGGCUCAGACAGCCAGGAUGUUGGCUUAGAAGCAGCCAUCAUUUAAAGAAAGCGUAAUAGCUCACUGGUCGAGUCGGCCUGCGCGGAAGAUGUAACGGGGCUAAACUGUGCACCGAAGCUGCGGCAGCGACGCUUAUGCGUUGUUGGGUAGGGGAGCGUUCUGUAAGCCUGCGAAGGUGUCCUGUGAGGGAUGCUGGAGGUAUCAGAAGUGCGAAUGCUGACAUAAGUAACGAUAAUGCGGGUGAAAAGCCCGCUCGCCGGAAGACCAAGGGUUCCUGUCCAACGUUAAUCGGGGCAGGGUGAGUCGACCCCUAAGGCGAGGCCGAAAGGCGUAGUCGAUGGGAAACGGGUUAAUAUUCCCGUACUUGGUGUUACUGCGAAGGGGGGACGGAGAAGGCUAUGUUGGCCGGGCGACGGUUGUCCCGGUUUAAGCGUGUAGGCUGGUUUUCCAGGCAAAUCCGGAAAAU
rnacentral:rRNA from 1 species